AUGUUUGAAUGGAAAAUUAUAUUUCUUAAACAAUUUAAAGAUUCGUGAUCAUCAUAUUUAAAAAUCAUAAAAUAUUUUUUAAAAUUAUAAUAUUAUUAAAAUCGACCGGUUAGAGAAAAAUCAGUCUAACACGAAUCUUUCUUUGUAUCGUAAUAUUUUACAUUUCAAAUAUUGUACAAAGGAUUUGUCUCAUGUGUGAACACAUGCUAAACACUAAAGUAUACUCUUUCCGUCCGCCUGAGUAGUAUACAUUGGGGGACGGGGAUGCGGCACGAACUUUAAUGCUCCUGUAAAGUAUAGUUGUGUAAUUUAUUUUUAAGAUUUUCUUUUUCUGAAUUAAAGUUACGGAACUAUAUUUUAUAAGAGCAUUGAAAUGCGUGUCGAGCAGUUGAAAAGAAACGUAUACAAUUAAAUGGGACAUAGGGAGUAUGAAUUUGGAUUUUUUGAUUGAUGUGUUUAUUGUGAAUACACAGUGUUCACUGUUAUUAAGUAAAUAAGAGAAAUUUAUCAAAUUGUGUAUCUAAAAUCUGUUUUAUAAACUAACGAGGUAAAUAGCCACCUCGUGCCUGCGAUCCGCCACUGAUCCACAAUAUCUCAUCCACCUCAACUAAAUUGUUCAUAUUUAGAUCUUCCAUUCUUGACCGAAAAAGUACUCAGAGGCUAGAAUCUAUCUGACAAGAUAUAUAACAGACAGAUGAUGAUUCAUGACCCGAUUCAGCUUGGAUUACGGUUAUAUACAUCGGGGGCAUUCUAAUCUAUAGUGACAUGCCGCCUCCUUGUCUCUUAGCGUCUGCGCCGUUGAUCCAUUUACAGAUGGAACUUAAAUUUCAAAAUACUACCUCCAUCCCAAAUUAGAUGUCCUCGUUGACUUUAGGCACGUAACCGUCUACUUUCGAAUUUUUUUUUUUUUUUUCUUUUGUAAAUGAAAAUUUCAUAUUUUAAUUUUUAUUUGCAAAAAUAAAAUUUUUAAAAUAAGUCACGUAUCUAUGCGGUCAAUGAACCUUAAAUCGUGUGUCCAAAGUCAACGGGGCCAUCUAAUUUGAGAUGGAGGGAGUAUUAAGUUAAAACGAUUUAGUGCUAGGUUUAUGGAAUUAGUAAAAAUUUCUAACAAAUAUCUAUUAACAUCAUUAUUGAUUAUAUUAGGUCUUUUUUUUAAUUUAGUUUGUAGAACUACUGUGUACCAUAAACUAAUUCGUCUUCGAUUACUCCCUAUCUAAUUUCGCCAGACAAAUCUGGUCUUCAAACACCCAUGUAGACUGUAGUCGGACACAUGUUCCUCGUUCACGGUGGCUGAACCGAGUCCAUCUAUAUCACAUUUUUCCUUAAUAGCUUAUUGCCAUCCAUAUGGAGUUAUUAUUUGAGUUUAUUCGUUUCUAGGAGAAGAUAUCUGAAAGUAGUACUCCCUCCAUCACAUUUUAUCGUGAACACUUAAAAUGAGAUGAAGAGAGUUUUAUGUACCUCUGUUAUAUUUAAUCCAUCUUGUUUUCUAUUUUCCCGGUAAUUGCAUGCUUUUUUUGAACAAAGUUCAUAUAAAUAUAUAAACGCAUCCUCGAAAAUCGGAACUAAUUGAUGGAGUUUACUGUCCAGCGAUUAAGCGAAUGAUUAAUCGGGACAUAAAUAUAUAAACUAAAAUAAUAUAAUAGUAUAUAUAAUUAUUAAAAUCAUUAUACUAGUUUUAAUAAAAUCUAUACUAUACUAUAAAAAGCCAACAUGUGUAUAAUUUGUAGUCCCACUUUUCCUUCAUGUUUUUUGGUUUCGUCUCGUCGCGCUGGUAUUUAAAAACCGUGUCUCACAAGGGGUCUCUCUCCCGCACAAGUCGAGCUUGCCUCUUGAAGUGAGUUGAUCAAAACCUAAUAGCAAAGUUUGAUUUACUCUCCUUCCGGCCCUCAAUUCCAUCUGGGUUCUUUAAAAUCAUCCUCUUCUAUAUUGGAAUGUUGUUUUUGUAUUUGCUUGAUUGGGCUGUAGAAAGUUUCAUCAUGAUCCUCAGACAAUUGUUAAUAACUGCAAUAAGGCUUUGAUUCUGAUUGAAGCGUGGCGGGAGUGAGCUUCGCUAUUUGCGUGUUUAUGAGGAGACGUAUAAGAGCUUGAGGUCCAGAGGUAUACGCUUUCCUGGUCGUGAUGGUGAGAGUUUGGCUCCUAUAUUCACUCCUCCUCAUUCGACCACAGCACCGGAGCCAAAUGCGAGCUUGGCACAAAAAAUGUAUAAUGAGGUUCCUGUGAUAAGCUUUUCUCCCGAGCAUUGCAAGAAACAGUAUUGAACUUCUUAGGACAGUUUUGUCCCCCUCACCAGAGCAAGAAGCUUUACAGAAAUUCUAUGAGAAACGACAAUUGUAUUUUAAGUGGUUUAAGCUGUAAAGUAGUGGCAUCAAAGCUGGGAGCUGUAUUCCAAUCAAAUACGGUUGUUGUGGUUAUUGAACCAGAGCCAGUAGGCGCGGUCACUGAAGUCGAACCGAAAGAGAUGCAGCAAUCAUCUGAGAAGAGGCAAAGGUAGUACGGCGAGAGAUUGGUAGCUUGACAUACAACACAAAUACAAAGAAGCGAAGAAAUAAUUAAAAUAGGUUCGUCAUCUGUGGAUGAGGAUUCGGAGGUUACUAUGUACCAGAAUGUGAAGAGGAACAGUACAUACCAGGUGGUUGCACUCGGGGUUCUCGAUAAGGAGACACAGACUCUUAGGUUGUGCCAGUCACUUCUAAUAAGGGACUAAGAGUUGAGUGGAGGACUAACCUCCCAUUUUUCCUGCCAAACUUCGAAGGAUCAGACACUACACAAGAUGAAGCUCAACAAAUUUUAAAGGAUGAAGAUGGCAGAGAAAAGAGACUCAAAGAGGGUGCCCUGCAGAAAUCGAAAGGUCUCAUUAUUCAUUAAUCAUUACUGAUAUUACUACUUCGGUUACAUAUUUGUGAAGGCUGGAAAUGAGAGGUACUGACUUCGAGUUCUUCAGGCAAAGUGUAGUGGUAGUUCAUAUGAAGCUGAUAAUGCUAUGCAAGAUGAAAAUUCUAGCAAUCUAAAAAAUUUGUGCUCUAGAAAGAAGAGGCAAUGGCUUAUGCACGAUCUUUAGUAGCAGGAUUUGAGAUGGAUCCUAUCGACGACCUCAGCUUUUUUGCUGAUGCUUUUGGAGCUUCGCGUUAAAGACUACAAGAUUACACCAAGGUCAGACAAAUCUGCUUGCAUCUGGAGGAGGUGGUGGUGAUAGGUGCACCAAAAUUUUUCACUCAGGCUCACAGGGGCAAAUUCUAUAGGAAGGUCUUGGUAGGGGCAAAUCUUCCCCGAAACCCCUUAGAGGCACGGCCAAUCUUUUUCUUGAUUUAGAUUCUAAUCCAUUACUUAUAAUGCUUUACUUCCCCCUGGAUUUAUAUGCACUCCAGACUUUACUUCCCUCUGAUCUAUAUGCACUCCAGACUCAUCAGCAUACAACAUAGUUUCUCCAUUGGAGAUCCAAGGACAAGACAGAGUAAUUACAGUUUACAAGCACAUGAAUUCGAAGCCCUUGAGCAAGUAGUUCAAAUGAAUAAAAGUAUAUUUGAUAAAGCACAUAAAAAAUCGUUUAUUAUCAUAAUACAGUGCAACUUUUCUUGGUCCUGCAGAACAUAUAACAAUGGCAAGAAACUGUAAGUGUUAACAUGUUAAUCUUAAUUUAAGCUAAAAGUGAACAAGCAAACUACAAAUUCGAUGACAAGUAUAUAUAGAUGACAAGUGAGUUAUCCGGUCAGUUUGUAGAUCCACAUGUAUGUUAGAACUUAAUUGAUGUAUGUUUUCUAUUGAUAUUUUAAUAUUUUGGUUAUUAUUGCGUUGUUAGCACAUCGUCUUUUUCUUUAUAUAUACGAGAAAUGCUAAAAUACUUUGAAUAACUCUCCACGGUUGCAACUGGAGUACAGGCACGUAUACAGGCAUGUAUAUUUAUAUGCAUAUUUUACUUAUGGUUUAGUUAGGUUGUUGAAUCCGCAAUAUUGUGAAAUAUUUCUCUGCUUUUAUACUUGGUAAAUGGUAGUGAAAUGUGAAAAAUUCCUAACUAUAGCAUGCUUUUACAGUUAAAAUUGUUUGAUUUGAAUUGUGAAAUCUGCUUUUUAAUUUUUCAUCCAUAAAAGGAUAUAAAUUGGGGAACAAAAUAGACUUUUAAUUUUCCCUCAAAAGGUUUGUGAACUAUAAGAUUCUUUUUUAUUAGGGUAGUGAAAGACCAUAAAUUGUUUCUGUUUAUGCACAAAGUAUGUAAAGAAUAUUGAAAGUUUAUUUUUUUGCUAAUUUAUAGAGCAUAUCUAAGUUACUUUGAAGUUUAUGCAAUCUCGGGUGUUCUUUUAUAAAGCUUUUGUUUUAUUAAGAAGCUGGAGAAGAAAGACUAAAUUGGAGUUAAGGAGCAACAGGAAUGACAAAUAUUGAUUUGUUGAUGUGAAAAAGUUUGAUUAUGCUUAACAAAAAAUGAGGUAUGAUUAUGAUAUAACUAUUAUUUCCGGUUGAAUCAGUCUAAUCCUUGGAAUAAUUAGUUCACUAUUAAGUACAUUUGUGCUUAUGGAAAUUCCGAUUAUCCAGAAUAAGCACCUGUUUGAAUGGAUUGAUACUUUUACUAUUUGUUCAGAUUGGGAGAGUGGUCUUCAAAACAAUUUUAGUUUAAGGUAUCGUCAGCCAGCUAAUGGCAUUUUAAAGCCCUAGGUCAUUUUGUCAUCCGUGAUGGAGAAUAUACUUCUGCGUUUUAGUAUUAACUGUUAUUCUUUGUUUUACAACCUUACUUUUUUGAUGGCUUUAUUGAUUUCAUGUGAUCAACGAUGUUUAAUUUAUUUAUCUUUCCCCCUUUCAGGACUACGGAAUACAUAUUUCUUAAUGGAGAUGUCUAUUUAGGCAGACUAAAAGGGAUGCUCCCUCAUGAAAGUCGUAAAUACGCUUGGUCAGGCGGAACAGAUUAUGAGGGUGAUUGGGACAAAAGAAAAUCAACCGGUAAGGGAAAGCUUUCCUAUGUAGAAUGGUUACAACCAUGAUACCAUUGCUACAAAGGUAACAUCGAUGCAGCCAUAUUAAGUUUGAUUUUCGGAGGCUGCUUACAAGAAGCAUGGGUUUGAGAAAUUUAGACAAGCAUGCUAUCUUUUGACCAUCUCAGGGAUAAAGUUGACACCUAAGGCUGCAAUUCUUUCAUGUGGGUACCCGGGAUCAUCCAUCUAGUUCCUAAGUGCAGUUGCUUAAUGCUAUGGUUGUGCAUAUGGCCGUUGGUCAUUUUGACAACCUCUUGCAAGAUGUAAUGUGUGAUUUAUAAAGAAAAUUGUAGUGUGAAUAGGUUUAUUAAGGCCUGAUGAAAAGAGAUGUUUUUUUUUUAUCUCCAACUACAAUUUAAUUUUACAAGUUCUUGUCGUGCAACGUUGUUAGAAAACUUUCAAUGUUUUAUGGAUAAAUGAAUUAUUUACAAGGAGUGUUGGCUUUUUUU